CACAAUAGCCAGUUUUCUGCACUACCACCCUGAACACGACUUAUGUUCCUCAUCUCUGAAGCUAAACUGGAUUGGGCCUGGUUAGUACAUGGAUGAGAGACUGAGUAUGUCAGGUGCUUUUGUGG
rnacentral:rRNA from 1 species